UUUAAAUUUUGCCAUCGUCAAGACAACUAUGUCAAGUCCAAGAUCCUGAUGUCAUAUUUCCAAAAUUAUCCAUGAUGGCAAGUUAUUCAGUCUUAUUUAAAAUGGGAUAUGGUGUCAUGUCUUUGCUAUGGUAACUCAGAUCCUGAUGAAAUGUACCCCAUUUGAAACUUUGACAUCUUUCUCUAGGACACCAGUAACGUUUGAUUUUCUCUUGGAUUGAUAAUAGUGGUGCUGUAGUCGCUCAAAGUUGAACGGUAUCGUUGCUCAAAAAUCUGAUCGAGCCACCUUAAAGGGGUUACUUUGUGGGUAGUGGGUUUGGUAUGUAGAAAUUAAGGUUGCUGACUUGUGCCAUCAGUUAGUACUGCAAAUCAAGGAAACAAAUUUUAGGAACAUAUUGGAUAAGAAUGGCAACUGGUACAUCCUGUAAAAUACUUGUGUGACAAGAUACAAGUACUAGGGGUGGUGAAUGGCUAAAUUAUCUAAGACUUUGUGAGAAUGGGAGAAUAGCAUUUUUCUUUACGUACAUGGGCUCCAAGACAAUGAACAGAUCAGAACUCUGAGACCUCUUAGCGUUGCAAAAAAGGUUGAGACUCUGAGACAGUUUUGUGUGAAAUAUAUGAGGUUAUGAGACGCACAUAGUUGCUACAAAUGGCAUAGUGAUUGUAAAAGGAACAGGGAAGUGAAACGAUUGUUUUGAAUUUCAAACUGACAAUACUAUACUUUGAGGUCAUAAAUUUCUAUCAACUAGACAGUAUAUUUUUGGGUCUGUUAAUUAUUCCAAGAGAAUUUUUGUUCUGUUUUCUAUUUUCUAUACUUAGAAUUCUACUUGUACACUUUUGCAUAUGCUACAAUCUGAUUGGUUGAGGUAUCAUACUAUGAGCCAUUAGUGUGCAAAGGCUUAAGGCUGUCUACAAAUUAACAAAGUCUCCCAUGCAUGUAUUUCUGAAGUUUUGGGACAACACUUCAAAAAAAAAAAAAAAAAAAAGAUAAUGAAGUCAAAAUUCUUGAGAAGGUGAAUUUAAAACCUUGAAGUUGUUAAAAAGUUAACAAGUGCUUGAACACAUGCAGGUGCCCAGUUGAAAGUACAAUGGACCAUUUUGAUGAAGUCACAACUGAAAGCAAAUGCUUGUCCCCUGGUGGACAUUUCUUUGAAAAAAUUGGCAAGUUGAUAAGAAACAUCGCAUUUUACUAAAUUUGGCAUGAGUAAGAGUGAUUGUUGGUGAGAACCAAAGAAAAUUACAAAAAUGUGGCCACAAGGACCAAAAAACUGGUGGCGUUUCAAAUCUUUUGAUAAUUUGACUAAAGAGACUUUGGACACAGCUUUCCUGUCUUACAAUAAUAUUUCAUUUUUGUGUUAUCAUCUUGUGAAUCUUCAUUUAUGAAUGUUGGAGAAACUUGCCCAAAUAUAAAGUCAAACCUCUCUAAUAUGGACACUGAAGGGACAGAGGGAAGUGUCCAUAUUAGAGAGGUGUCCACUGACAGUUUAGAGUGUUUGCUUUUUUAAAUGUAAGUUUUGAAAACUAACAUUUUGACAUGUUCUGGUAUUGGUAUCACUGAAUGAUUAAGUGUCAAUGUUUGUAACUGCUGAUAGGAAAUGGUACAUACCACAAAUUAUUGACACCUGGUCCGCGGAGUGUCCGUAAUAAAGAGGUUAAAUUUGUAUCAAUUUGCUCCUUAAGGCUGAGAGUUAAUGUCUGUUAUCCGUUUUAGAGAGUGUCUGUAUUAUGGAGUUUUUUUAGAGGAAAUUAUUGUGCCUAUAAGAAACUGUCCAUAUUAGAGAGGUGUCCUUAUGGAGUGGGUUCGACUGUAUAACUUCAUGAUCACCUUUUAAUGUACACCACUCUAGCACAGAGAUGAUAUAUCAAGGUUUCUUAUCUCUAACAAACGCUUUUGAGGCUUCAUUAUCACACGCUAAAAGUCCGUUUCUUUAAUGCAACAUGGAAUUUACAGCUUCUCUCUCAUUUACAUUUGUAUGUUUAUUUAUUUGGGUAUUAAUUGUCUCUUAAAGACCACAGAUGUAGUAAUAAUUUGAUGUUAAAAAAAAAAUAUUAUUGAAAGGUUGAGGAGAACCAAAGACAAUGUGUGUGAUUUCACAGGGAGGUUUUGAAUAUUUUAAUGGAAUCAUUAUGGUCUGAUGUUCGUAAGUCAAAGUUUAGACUACAGAAAAUGUUGUGAAAUUACAGUGAAUUUUUGGGAACAUUUGGUUUGAAGUCAUGGGUGAACAGGAGAGGGAUAUACUAUUUUAACAGUAAUUGCUUGACUUCAGAUGAUAAAUAAGAUGUACUGUAUAUAAUUUUCUUUUUUUGUCAGGCCACUCGAGGAAGGGCUGGGUUGAUGUGGAUGAACAAGUCAUUAGGAAAAGAAGACAAGGAAAGAAGGAAGGAAGGAUGUUUGAGACUGAAAGGGUGAAUAGACAGAUCUGGACCGAAAAAAGAAAGACAUGGGACUGUUGUACAUGUAUAUGGCAACAGUUCCAACUGGAAGAAAGCAAAUCAGUCACUUUGCCUGACCAGGCCACUCAAGAAAGAGCUGGAUUGAUAAGGAUUAAUAUGUUAUUAGGAAAAAAAAAAGGAAAGAAGGUAGACAGGAACUGGAUGCUAAAGACUAAAAUGGUGGAGAGACAGACCAAAAAAAAACAGGGGACUGAUACAAGUACCGGUACGUGGCAACAGUUGUACCUGGAAGAAACUAAAUCUGUCACCUUGGCUACACCAGUGGAUAGACAGUAGACAUAUCUGGAAACACAGUGGACAUACCUGGAUGGACAGUGGGCAAACCCAAAACAUUCAAACUUUGACCAACCAGUUAAUAAUGGAUGGACAGUAGACAUAUCUGGAAAGACAGUGGACAAACCUGGAUGGACAGUGGGCAGACCUGAAACAUUCAAACCUUGACCAAUCAGGUAAAUAGAUGUAAAUGUACAGUUGUUAUGUUUUCGAAUGAGAAAUGCAACGACCACAACACACAAGAUGGCGGAACUCAAACUGUAUUCUCACGUGUAC
rnacentral:lncRNA from 1 species